GCAUGCUGAUGGAUUUAUGGCAGGCCCUUCUUUGUGAACUUCUCAUGGUGUACCCAUGUCAGAGUCAGUUGCAGCUUUAAACCAAUAACCAGUUCACCUCUUACUGUGGAUGACCGCUGAAUGGGGCUGUAUAGUU
rnacentral:snoRNA from 1 species